ensembl:lncRNA RAB30-DT RAB30 divergent transcript
AGUGGGACGCGCCCAGAGUGAAGGAGCAAAGGGGACUCGGCCGCCAUGUUAGGAGUACUGGGACGAUUCCGCGGAGCCGGGCAGAGGUUUUAGGGGAAUGAUUAACAAAGGCGUCCGAAGAAAUCGUUGUUGGAAGGUGACCAAGGUGGAAAGAGACGUUGCUUUGGCCCUGCAAGUAAGAAGAGAGAGGGAAUAGCCUGAAGGAGUAACACUAAAUUUAAAAUGACACUUUUUUACCAACCAGCGAAAGCAGAUGUUCAAAGGGGAUAUUGGCCAGAGUCUGUCACACUAAGAUGAGAAAUGUCCUUUCUUCCUGAAGGUGUCUGAUGUGUAAAAAUAUGAUAUACUUUGUGCUGUUUCCUCCCUUCCCUUUUGCAUAUUAUUCUGAAACAACAUUAACUAGUUACUUUGCGUCAUUGAAGGUAUGCACUUCCCCUCUAUGUUAGGAGUGAAUAAAAUUAAAAAUAGAUCCUUAUAACAAAGAAAGGCAGAUAGAAUGAUUAAAAAUGACCAAAACAUGUUAGAAACAGUCUCUCAGGUGUAUGCAGAUGGUAAUUACAAAAAUACUUUUUCAAAAAAUGAUCUUCUGUGUCAUGUUUCUGGGAACAAGUCAAGAUGAAUGAGUUUGAUUUUUAAGCAGAAGUAGUAUGUGUUGGUGUCAUCCAUGAAUACAACAAUGAAAAAGGCUCAAAGUUGUUGUUAUUCAGAAACUUCUCUAAGUAAUGGUGGUAAGUACAGGAAAAGGAGCAAUGUCUACCAUUUUCUUUCUAACCUUCGAUUUAACUAUUGUAAUGUUGUAAGCUUAACAGAGACUUACACUUAGGCUUAAUUUCAAGCUCUUCAAUCAUUUUUCCCGGUUGGUGAUUCAGGUGUAUUCUCAUGUCUUAUGUAAACUUAUCAUGAGUGUUGUUGAUUUAUAAUAUAUUUCUUUAUGUAAGCCAUAGCCUUGUCAGUUUGAGUUAUAUGGAAGACAAAUUGUAGGGAAAAAGAGCAACAGAUUACUCAGAAACCUUCUGUGUGAGCUGGGCAUAGUAGUGCAUGCCAGUAGGCUUAGCUACUUGGGAGGCUGAGGCAGGAGGAUCACUUGAUCCCAUUAGUUUGAGGCUGCAGUGAGCUAUGAUUGUGUCACUGUACUCCAAUCUGGACAACAGUGAGACUAUGUCUGUUUUUAAAAAAGAAAGAAAGCUUGUGUUUGAGAAGUGAUACCUCUAGAAUACAGUGAUUUCUAUAAUUUGUCAUGUGUUUGGGUAGUUUGAAGUUUUUCUAUCCUUGUAUCUAAUGGACAUCUGACCAUAAAGAUGAAAAAAUCCUGCACUCAUUAUAAAUUUUAUUUAUAAAAUUGAUAUUUGAGGAGUUGGGGAGGCCAGCUUCUGAAAAAAUAACAGUGUCCCAUAGAAACACCACAACUUAGGAAAAUAUUGUUAAAGUGGAAUUAGGAAUAUCUAGAGGAGGUAAAGCUUUUCAUCUCUCAAAAAAGAAUUAGGGCCAGGCACAGUGGCUGACACCUGUAAUCCUAGCACUUUGGGAGGCCGAGAUGGGCACAUCACUUGGGGCCAGGAGUUCAAGACCAGCCUGGCCAACAUGGCGAAACCCCAUCUCCAAGAAAUAGAAAAGUUAGCCAGGUGUGGUGGCGUGCGCCUGUAAUACCAGCUACUAGGGUGGCUGAGGCAGGAGAAUCGCUUGAACUGGGGAGGUGGAGGUGGCAGUGAGCAGAGAUUGAGCCACUGUACUCCAGCCUGGGCAACAGCAAGACCCUAUCUCAAAAAAAUAAUAAAGAGAAUUAGGACAUGGAUUUGUAUUAAAAUUAUAGGUAGCUCAUUUAAGAGUAUGAAGCCAAUUGCUGUUAGAGCAAGGGUUUUUUUCAGUAGAGGUGUCAGGAUAACCUAUACAGCUCUAAAAGUAUAUGGCUGUUACCUUCCCAUCCCUGUUGAAAUCUCCAGGGUUAGAACCAAGUAUUGUGUUUUUAAAACUAUAGGUGAGUCUACAAGAGUUGGGUGGAGUAGUCCUCUACAUCCUGUGUUUGUAUUUUUGCAGUAAGUCACACAAUAACAAAAGCUUUGAGAAAGAUUUUAGGUUUAUUGCUAAUUAUACCCAUGAAUGAAUUCUGAAAAUGUGUAGAUAAGGAAUUUACCUGGUGAACGGUUUACACAUGGCAAUUGUGGGAGGGAGAGGGGAGUGAGAGGAGAUGAGAUCAGUUUUAGCUUUAAGAGGACCAACCGGGCCAAGCACGGUGGCUCACGCCUGUAAUCCCAGCACUUUGGGGCCGAGGUGGGUGGAUCACGAGGUCAGCAGUUCAAGACCAGCCUGACCAACAUGGUGAAACCCCGUCUCUACUAAACAUACAAAAAAUUAACUGAGUGUGGUGGCGGGUGCCUGUAAUCCCAGCGACUUGGGAGGCUGAGGCAGGAGAAUCGCUUGAAACUGGAAGGCGGAGGUUGCAGUGAUCCGAGAUUGUGCUAAUGCACUC